CGGGAGGAGUUCAACCGGCAGGCGACCUUUGAGGCGUGGCAGCGGGCUGAGAUGGCGAGACAGCAGCAAGAAUAUGCGAGGCAGAUGGCUAUGCAGGAGGAACUCCUACGACAGUUUCAGGAGUUCCAGAGGCGACAGGGAGGACCGCCAUCUUGAGUGAUUUGUAAGUAUGCUAACCAUAACUUUUAUCUAUUUUUCCCUCCAAACUUAUUUUCGAGCAUUCGCUCCUUAAUAAGUUUGGGGGAGGGGGAUGGAGAUUAGUUAUGGUUUGCAUUUUUAGCCUAGCAUAUUUUUUGUAUCUUU
rnacentral:lncRNA from 1 species